CUCUGCCUCUCUCCUUGUACAAAGAAAGAGCACCAAAAUCUCUCUCCCUCCUUCUCAUUCUCUCUUUUCUCUCUGAGCUAGGAUCACCUGGAUCGCUAGGGCUCUUCUUCGUCUUCACUGUGAUUUCCGCCGGAGCUCUGCGAAAAUGCCUCUCCGACUGGAAAUCAAGAGGAAACUUGCUCAAAGAUCAGAGAGGGUAAAAUCUGUGGAUCUGCAUCCGACGGAACCAUGGAUAUUGGCGAGUCUAUAUUCGGGGACAGUGUGUAUUUGGAACUACCAGACUCAGACCAUGGCUAAGUCAUUUGAGGUCACAGAGUUACCAGUUAGGUCAGCCAAAUUUAUAUCACGCAAGCAAUGGGUUGUUGCUGGAGCUGACGAUAUGUGUAUCCGUGUCUACAACUACAACACAAUGGAUAAGGUCAAAGUAUUUGAGGCCCAUACUGACUACAUCAGAUGUGUAGCUGUUCAUCCUACACUCCCUUAUGUGCUAUCAUCAUCUGAUGAUAUGCUCAUCAAGCUAUGGGAUUGGGACAAGGGUUGGAUUUGUACUCAGAUAUUUGAAGGACAUUCACAUUAUGUGAUGCAAGUGACAUUUAAUCCAAAAGACACCAACACCUUUGCAAGUGCAUCUCUUGAUCGCACCAUAAAGAUAUGGAAUCUAGGCUCCCCUGACCCAAAUUUUACACUGGAUGCGCACCAGAAAGGUGUAAAUUGUGUUGAUUACUUUACGGGUGGUGAUAAACCUUAUCUAAUUACUGGUUCCGAUGAUCAUACUGCUAAGGUGUGGGACUAUCAAACAAAAGGUUGUGUCCAGACACUUGAAGGCCAUACACACAAUGUUUCUGCUGUUUGUUUUCAUCCCGAACUCCCUAUAAUAAUAACGGGAUCAGAAGAUGGAACAGUACGAAUAUGGCAUUCCACCACUUAUAGGCUUGAGAACACAUUGAAUUAUGGCCUUGAAAGAGUUUGGGCUAUUGGAUACAUGAAGGGCUCAAGACGGGUUGUGAUUGGUUAUGAUGAAGGAACAAUAAUGGUGAAACUUGGACGUGAAGUACCGGUGGCUAGUAUGGACUAUAGUGGAAAGAUCAUUUGGGCCAAGCACAACGAAAUCCAAACUGUGAACAUUAAGAGUGUGGGCGCUGAUUAUGAGGUUACUGAUGGAGAAAGAUUGCCUUUGGCCGUCAAGGAGUUGGGUACAUGCGACCUUUACCCCCAAAGUUUAAAGCACAAUCCCAAUGGGAGGUUUGUUGUAGUUUGUGGAGAUGGCGAGUACAUUAUAUAUACUGCUUUGGCCUGGAGAAAUCGGUCGUUUGGUUCUGCUUUGGAAUUUGCUUGGUCAACUGAUGGAGAGUAUGCUAUUCGAGAGAGUACUUCAAAGAUUAAAAUUUUCACUAAAAACUUCCAGGAGAAAAGGAGCAUUCGACCAACGUUUUCUGCUGAACACAUAUAUGGGGGAACAUUAUUGGCAAUGUGCUCAAAUGAUUUUAUUUGCUUUUAUGAUUGGGCUGAGUGCAGAUUGAUUCGGAGAAUCGAUGUGAAUGUGAAAAAUCUCUAUUGGGCUGAUAGUGGCGAUUUAGUUGCUAUUGCUAGUGACGCAUCAUUCUACAUCCUGAAGUACAACCGAGAUGUAGUCUCUUCUUAUUUGGAUAGUGGAAGACCUGUAGAUGAACAAGGUGUGGAAGAUGCAUUUGAGCUUCUCCAUGAAAUGAAUGAACGGGUCAGGACUGGUAUAUGGGUUGGGGAUUGCUUCAUUUAUAACAACUCAUCCUGGAGGCUGAAUUACUGUGUUGGUGGAGAGGUAACUACAAUGUUCCAUUUGGACCGGCCAAUGUACUUGUUGGGUUAUCUUGCCAAUCAAAGUAGGGUGUUUCUGAUAGACAAAGAGUUCAAUGUGAUGGGGUACACACUACUUUUGAGUUUAAUUGAGUACAAGACACUUGUGAUGCGUGGAGACUUCGAAAGGGCCAAUGCAGUUUUACCUUCAAUUCCUAAAGACCAUCAUAACAGUGUGGCUCGUUUCCUGGAAUCACGAGGUAUGAUAGAGGAUGCACUUGAAGUGGCCACAGAUCCUGAUUACAGAUUUGAGCUAGCCAUUCAGCUCGGUAGAUUAGAAAUUGCAAAGGAAAUUGCCAGUGAGGUGCAGAUUGAAUCUAAAUGGAAACAGUUAGGUGAACUUGCAAUGUCUACUGGAAAUUUGGAAAUGGCUGAGCAAUGUUUGAAGCAUGCCAUGGACCUGAGUGGUUUAUUAUUGCUAUAUUCAUCUCUUGGAGAUGCUGAAGGAAUCUCAGAACUUGCGUCCCUUGCAAAAGAACAAGGGAAGAACAAUGUUGCAUUCCUUUGUUUAUUCAUGUUGGGUCGAUUGGAAGAGUGCCUGGAGCUGUUGGUUGCAAGCAAUCGGAUACCUGAAGCUGCUUUAAUGGCUCGAUCGUAUCUUCCAAGCAAGGUUGAAGAAAUAGUAGCUAUUUGGAGAAAAGAUCUCUGCAAGGUUAAUUCAAAAGCUGCCGAGUCUUUGGCUAAUCCAGAACAGUAUCCUAAUUUGUUUGAGGAUUGGCAAGUUGCUCUUUCGGUUGAAUCUAAAGCAGCAGAGACAAGGGGUGUAUAUCCUCCUGCAGUGGAGUAUGUGAAACAUGUUGAUAAAACACAUAUGACCCUUGUGGAGGCUUUCAGGAGCUUGCAAGUGGAUGAAGAGAGCUUGCAAAUGGAUGAAGAGGAGCCUCGUGAAAAUGGAGACUCAAAUCAUGAGGUAUCUGAACUGAAUGGGGAACAGACUGUAGAGAACCAUGCAGAUGAACAGUACGAGGAAGGGAGCCAGGAGGAGGCUGUCGUGCUGGAUGCCGAGUCUACGGAUGGUGCUGUACUCGUUAAUGGUAGUGAAGCUGAAGAAGACUGGGGUACGAAAAAUGAAGGAACCUCGACAGCCUAAAAAGCUAUGGGUUGGGCCAGUGUGAAAAUCCAAUUUUGUCUCUGUGCUUACACCACGUCAUUAGGUCCCUGUAAAGACUGCUGGUCCAGCUGUAUGGAUCCUUUAUCAAAGGUCUUCUGCAAGAGGCUGACAAAGAGGUGAUGUAAUGGAUCGGUUGUCUCUGUUAUCCAGUGGUGUGGCAUGUAACCAUAUUGUAGUUUGUGAUGGGGCACAACAAAGUUAGUUCCAUAGUUUUAGUUAGUUUUGCUCAUUGCGUUACAGAUUAACGUAUUCUUUGAGGCCUUGUUGUCAUAUUUUGGUGUCAUUGUGAAUGUAGAGUCAGCUAGUAACAAGGUCGAUGUUUACCAUUCAAAAUUUAGAAUUUUGGUCCCCUGGGCAUUUUAUGUUUUGGGAGUUCUCUUAUGCGGCUCAUUGUAAACGUGUACGUGUUUACAAUAUAUACAUUUUGAGUAUGAUACAGCAACUAUCGCACUUGGCUUGUGUUGGCACCAUGCUUGUUCAGAUAGGACUGAUCAUACUCCUUUCAUCGGUCUAGACUGAUGAUUUGA